AAAUAACAUCUGUUCCUCUCGAACAGGUUUUAAUUGCCGCUCUUUAUUUUGCUCCACGGGCUUCUGUUAUUACCCUUGGAAAAAAAAUUAUCACUGCUUACCCGGAAACAAAGUAAUUGAAUUCAAAUGACUUAUUAUAGUCUGUCGCUUGUCAUUAAGGCAAUUUCAAAGCGUCUAAUUAUCAAUGACUUGUCAAUCACUUAUCAAGAGAUGAUGGCAUAAAAAGGCGGUCAAUGAAUAACGCUUGUUCAGAUUGUCCAAACGUCCACUGAAGCAUCUUCGAACGUACUCGGCGACCAAAAAGCUAAACCAAAUCAAAACAAGCUCAAAAUGUCACGGAUUGCUAUCCUGUUGUUCGUUGCCUGUCUUGUGGUCGCUGGAGUUUCUGCAAAAUCAACUGCUCACUUUAAGAAGAAUGCAUUAGCUGACCUUUUAAAAGAGCGAAGAGCCAACUUCAAGAGAGAUCCAGCCGGCAGCACGUGUGUCAACAUUCAAGAUAACCACUUCUGCGUUCAGUUGGCUUCACAGGGCGCAUGUGUAGCCAUACCGCAAAUGGCAUCCCAAUGCGCUAGCGCUUGUGGUCAAUGUUAAUCACGUUAAGCCUACUAAUUAAAGAAACAUAUACUAUUAUCAGAUACAUCGAUGACUAUUCAGUAGAAGUAUGCUCAGCCGUUGUCGAUAAUAUUUUCAGUCUUAAUUACAAAUCAUCCUGUAAUAUACACCGAACUUGUACACCCAUAUUAAACAUAUAAAUAAUAUACUAUCAGACGAACGAGGACGAGAAAUAAACAAAUUGCAAACUA